rnacentral:tRNA from 1 species
GCUGGCGUGGCUCAAUGGUUGAGCGUCAACCUAUGAACUAGGAGGUCCCAGGUUCGAUUCCUGGUUGGGGCA